AUGACACCAGCAAUGCCUCCAAUGGAGGCUUCAAGCAGGUCACAUGUACGUUGCUUCUCUUCCCAGUGCAAGUUGAGAAGAGGAAGAUUCAAGGAGCAGCGUGUUUAGGAUAAUUGGAACAGAGAUCCUAAUGAUAUCAUCACUUAAAUGUUAUCUGAAGCGGCCCAAAGUGAGAGUUAUCAGAUUGUGGAGCUCUUUAUUAGAAAUCUCACCACCUGCAGUUGUAGCAGCUAAUGAAUGUGCUAUCAGGUUAUAUAUGAAGCAAGAUUUGGCAAUCAAAAAUUGUAUCAACCACAAAAUAUCAUCAGAAAGUAACUAGGAGGUCUCCACAAAGUGAUUGUCUUUCUCCAUCGAUGUUCAUUAUGUUCUGAGAAAAAAUGGAUGAUUAUGGGUGAGGUAUCAAGCUCGGCAGAUGAAGGAGGUUUGAGGCCAUGUAGAUCAGUGAGUGUUUCUACUUUCAGGUUGUUGAUUCCUUUGUACUGUUGUUUUAAGAGGCCGGAAAAAAUAAGAGUCUUGCCAGCCUUGACCUCCGAUGUUUUUCCAGGAGCGGUACAAGUCGUUGUGCCUAUCUCAGCAACUUGGUGUGGCUGAGAAUCUUGCACCUGGCAUAAAUGCUUCUCGAGUAGGUUGCCUUCAUAUCAUUUCCCGAGAGUCUACUACUGCAUUUUAGAUGUAUUUCAGAGACAAUAGCAGCCCCAGAAACAAGGACGCGAGAGACCAAUGAGGAAAAAGGAUGCCAAUGAUGCACAAUGAGGAGAUGGUUGGGCCUUGUGGCAUGCUUAUGGCAGCAGCUCCCCUUGCCAGCAAACUCGCCAUCUCUUUCCCUAGACGAGGGAGGAGCAGACUCACCGGCUCAGACGGCGGUUUUGGCACUGGCGGACUCCUCCACGAAUCGGGCCACAUGUGAGAUGGCGGGGCGUGGUCUGCGUGACUCCAUGAGAUCCAUGGACAUCGGCUCUUCGUCCGGCGUGGGGAUGUGCAAUGGCUUGGUGACAGAAAUCAUGUGUUGCAGGCCAGCGGGCAGAGGAGGGAACCCUCUGCUACGGUCACAGUCGGUGUGGUAUGGCUCCUUAUCUACAUCACAAUCCCCUACGUCUGUUCUA